rnacentral:rRNA from 1 species
GGAAUCUACCUAGUAGUGGGGGAUAGCUCGGGGAAACUCGAAUUAAUACCGCAUACGACCUACGGGAGAAAGGGGGCAACUUGUUGCUCUCGCUAUUAGAUGAGCCUAAGUCGGAUUAGCUAGAUGGUGGGGUAAAGGCCUACCAUGGCGACGAUCUGUAGCUGGUCUGAGAGGAUGAUCAGCCACACCGGGACUGAGACACGGCCCGGACUCCUACGGGAGGCAGCAGUGGGGAAUAUUGGACAAUGGGGGAAACCCUGAUCCAGCCAUGCCGCGUGUGUGAAGAAGGCCUUUUGGUUGUAAAGCACUUUAAGCAGUGAAGAAGACUCUUCGGUUAAUACCCGGAGACGAUGACAUUAGCUGCAGAAUAAGCACCGGCUAACUCUGUGCCAGCAGCCGCGGUAAUACAGAGGGUGCAAGCGUUAAUCGGAAUUACUGGGCGUAAAGCGAGCGUAGGUGGCUUGAUAAGUCAGAUGUGAAAUCCCCGGGCUUAACCUGGGAACUGCAUCUGAUACUGUCAGGCUAGAGUAGGUGAGAGGAAGGUAGAAUUCCAGGUGUAGCGGUGAAAUGCGUAGAGAUCUGGAGGAAUACCGAUGGCGAAGGCAGCCUUCUGGCAUCAUACUGACACUGAGGCUCGAAAGCGUGGGUAGCAAACAGGAUUAGAUACCCUGGUAGUCCACGCCGUAAACGAUGUCUACUAGUCGUUGGGUCCCUUGAGGACUUAGUGACGCAGCUAACGCAAUAAGUAGACCGCCUGGGGAGUACGGCCGCAAGGUUAAAACUCAAAUGAAUUGACGGGGGCCCGCACAAGCGGUGGAGCAUGUGGUUUAAUUCGAUGCAACGCGAAGAACCUUACCUGGUCUUGACAUAUCUAGAAUCCUGCAGAGAUGCGGGAGUGCCUUCGGGAAUUAGAAUACAGGUGCUGCAUGGCUGUCGUCAGC